AACGAACGCUGGCGGCAGGCCUAACACAUGCAAGUCGAGCGCCCCGCAAGGGGAGCGGCGGACGGGUGAGUAACACGUGGGAAUUUUCCUCAAGGUACGGAACAACUCAGGGAAACUUGGGCUAAUACCGUAUGAUAUCUAGCGACCAAAGAUUUAUCGCCUUGGGAUAAGCCCGCGUCAGAUUAGGUAGUUGGUGGGGUAACGGCCUACCAAGCCUGCGAUCUGUAGCUGGUCUGAGAGGACGAUCAGCCACACUGGGACUGAGACACGGCCCAGACUCCUACGGGAGGCAGCAGUGGGGAAUCUUGCGCAAUGGGCGAAAGCCUGACGCAGCCAUGCCGCGUGAAUGAUGAAGGUCUUAGGAUUGUAAAGUUCUUUCGCUCGUGACGAUGAUGACGGUAACGAGAGAAGAAGCCCCGGCUAACUUCGUGCCAGCCGCCGCCGUAAUAC
rnacentral:rRNA from 1 species